CAGGAAGUUCCUAGGUCAGCCAUGGGAGAGAGACAGGAAGCUCCUAGGUCAGCCAUGGGAGUGAGACAGGAAGUUCCUAGGUCAGCCAUAGGAGUGAGACAGGAAGUUCUUCAGUCAGCCAUGGGAGAGAGACAGGAAAUUCUCCAGUCAGCCAAUGCGAGAGGGACAGAAAAUUCUUCAGUCAGCCAUGGUAGAGAGACAGAAACAUAUUCAGUCAACCAUGGGAGAGAGACAGGAAAUUCUUCAGUCAGCCAUUGGAGAGAGACAGGAAACUCCUAGGUCAGCCAUGGGAGUGAGACAGGAAGCUCCUAGCUCAGCCAUGGGAGUGAGACAGGAAGCUCCUAGCUCAGCCAUGGGAGUGAGACAGGAAGCUCCUAGGUCAGUGAGACAGGAAGUUCCUAGGUCAGCCAUGGUAGAGAGACAGAAACAUAUUCAGUCAACCAUGGGAGAGAGACAGGAAAUUCUUCAGUCAGCCAUUGGAGAGAGACAGGAAACUCCUAGGUCAGCCAUGGGAGUGAGACAGGAAGCUCCUAGCUCAGCCAUGGGAGUGAGACAGGAAGCUCCUAGCUCAGCCAUGGGAGUGAGACAGGAAGCUCCUAGGUCAGUGAGACAGGAAGUUCCUAGGUCAGCCAUGGGAGAGACAGGAAGCUCCUAGCUCAGCCAUGGGAGUGAGACAGGAAGCUCCUAGGUCAGCCAUGGGAGAGAGACAGGAAGUUCCUAGCUCAGCCAUGGGAGAGAGACAGGAAGCUCCUAGGUCAGCCAUGGGAGUGAGACAGGAAGUUCCUAGGUCAGCCAUGGGAGAGAGACAGGAAACUCCUAGGUCAGCCAUGGGAGUGAGACAGGAAGCUCCUAGGUCAGCCAUGGGAGAGAGACAGGAAGCUCCUAGGUCAGCCAUGGGAGUGAGACAGGAAGUUCUUCAGUCAGCCAUGGGAGAGAGACAGGAAAUUCUCCAUUCAGCCAAUGCGAGAGAGACAGAAAAUUCUUCAG